rnacentral:rRNA from 1 species
AGUCGAACGAUGAAGCCCUUCGGGGUGGAUUAGUGGCGAACGGGUGAGUAACACGUGGGCAAUCUGCCCUGCACUCUGGGACAAGCCCUGGAAACGGGGUCUAAUACCGGAUACGAGCUUCCCGGGCAUCUGGGAGGUUGGAAAGCUCCGGCGGUGCAGGAUGAGCCCGCGGCCUAUCAGCUUGUUGGUGAGGUAACGGCUCACCAAGGCGACGACGGGUAGCCGGCCUGAGAGGGCGACCGGCCACACUGGGACUGAGACACGGCCCAGACUCCUACGGGAGGCAGCAGUGGGGAAUAUUGCACAAUGGGCGCAAGCCUGAUGCAGCGACGCCGCGUGAGGGAUGACGGCCUUCGGGUUGUAAACCUCUUUCAGCAGGGAAGAAGCGCAAGUGACGGUACCUGCAGAAGAAGCGCCGGCUAACUACGUGCCAGCAGCG